rnacentral:lncRNA from 1 species
GCAGGAUCCAGGCAAGACUAAGGCUCCAAAGAGACAUGACCCAGCUUCUCCUGGUGCUCUGGGCAUCGCUGGUGUCUGUGGACCUCGCACGAGGCAUGAUCAUCUACAAGGUACCAGCCCAAAACCUGACCUGCUUCCAGUGCUUCAAUGUUUCCCAGGCCAGCCAGUGUCAGCCCACAGAAUGUCGGCCCAACGAAAAGGUCUGCGUGAGCAGAGAGGUUCUCCUUAACAAGAGUAAAAACAGAAAUACUGAGAUCACCAAGCGCUGUGCCACCACUUGUCCCAAAGCCAAUGAUUUCAAUCAGUUGUCAUUGAGCAAUAUUCAUGACGGAAUCAUCAGAAGAUGCUGUUCAUGGGAUCGUUGCAACAGAGCACCUGGGAGUUGGGAGGGGUUCUGGUCCUUACCAGGUUGGCUCAUGCUGCCAAUGAGUCUGGCCCUCUUUUGCACCCUGUUGUGAGAACCAUUGUGCUGUGAUACCCUGCCCCAACAUACUCAUCCUUCUAGCACAUCCUGUCUUCCACUUCAAAUCUCACAUUCAUCGAUUCCAGCACUUGCACAGCAAUGGUCUGUCCAUGGGGCAGAAGGGAGGACACCAUACCCUUUGCUUAGGACUCAGCAGUCUGCUCCUCCCUGACAUCCUGGCCCAGGAAGUAGGAAUAAAACCCUGCUGCUCCUCA